CCCCCUUUUUAGCAUAAUUUUUAAAGAAAACACCUGGUCUUAUACAUGGAAAAGUACAGUAUCUUUCUGUCCAGGCUUUCCCUGACGGAUAAGCUUUUAUACUACCAUUUUACUGGGUUUUCUUAUGAGAGACUGCUGGAUACAACCAUCAAGAACAGGGAUCCUGAAGCUGAAGUGAGAUGGUUGCUACUACCUGAAGAUGACACUUUCCUUCCGAGAGUCGCAUGCUUUCCAAUCCGAUACCUCAAUUGGCACCACCUAGAAAUGUUCCUGAGACCUCCAGUAGUGGCACCUAGAAGCAGGUGGAAGCUCAUCUCAGUCAUAUACUCUACACUGGAACAAAUACUGUAGUGUUUAUUGUAUUUAGAAACAGCAGAACCCGGGUAUUUCCUUGAUUACAAUCAUAAGCUGUUAAUAGAUGUGGGUACCGGUGUUCAAUUUCCUUAUCUUGAAGCUGCUCAGACAGUGCAUCCCCCACCUUUCCAAUUGUGAUGUAUUUUACAUAAACCAGAGAAAUGUGCCUGCAUUUUUUAUUUCCUGUGUACUCCAAAACUUCAUUAUUCUCUAACAAUUUGCUCUAAUAGACCUUUUUGCAUGUAAGGAGGGCUUGGAAAUUUACGAAAUGAUACUACCAAGACACUUUAACUGUUUGCUACUCUCCUGGUAUGUUUGUGGACAUGGUUUUGCUUAAUUCGCUAACCCUCUUUUGGCAACUGAGUUGAGAAUUUGUCUUAAAUGCAUGAGCCUUGGUUGCCUGUUAGGCUCAGUGAAGUUUGCCUCCCUUAACUUAUUUUAGAUGGGGUGUGUGUGAGUGUAAGGAUGUCAUUCCCACCCAUGGGCAUAGCCAACGGGGGUGCAGGGGGCAGCUGCUCCCCCCAAGAUGAAGUAAAACAAUAGAAAUACAUAACUAAAUGACCAAUCACUUCAGUUCUGCCCCCCCCCCACAAAAGUCCUGCUCCCUCCUAACAAAAUUCCCAUGUUACCACCCAAUGAAAGUCAGUGGCAAGGAUGCUCUUAUUUUAAGCGACUGGCCCAUGGCCAUAGCCAGGAUUGCAGGGGCAGGCCUUUUGUUGGGGAGGGAGAACCUCAGUUUGUCAUGUAUUUUUAUUGAUUUUUUUAGCUGCCUCUCCCUACCCCCUGGCUACUCCCAUGGACUGGACCCAGGGCCGGAUUUAGGUUUGGUGAGGCCCUGAGCUACUGAAGGUAAUGGGGCCCUUUAUAUGUCCAGCUAUCCUUUGUCAACAACAAAUUGUCACUGUUUUUGUGUUGAAUAUAUGCUAUGUGGUAAUUUAUGGACCUAAUAGGUAUCUAAAGGUAUCUAAAGCCAUUGGCCACUGUGUAGGUUUUAUCUGCUAUUUUGGAACUGUACAUCCAGUGUUGUUUUUUCUUUAAAUCUUUUUGGGGUUCCCAAGAGAGUGGGGCCCUAUGUUAUAGCUUGUUUAGCUUAUAGGUAAAUCCAGCACUGACUGGGCCCUAGGGAGAGGAAAUCGAAGACGGGAAGAAGCGGAGGGCAAAGCCACCCUGAGUUGCGCUCAGGUCCUCAGCAGCGCGCAGAAGCAACUGCCACGAUGAGGCUCGGAGGCGUUUGCUAGGCCCCAAGCGCGCGCUUUCGCGGGUCUGGCUCUCUGCUGCGACCAGCAGGGCCUUGUCUCUGAGGGCUCAGUCACUUCGGCACACUCGAGGCCUUGCGAGAAAGGGGAGCUCCUCUAUACCUGCCUACCACCAUCUUCGCUGGCUGAGCGCCUUUCAAGCGGUCGGUGAGACUUGGCUGUCAGGGCAUACGCUGUCCCUCGGGGCACCGCCGGCAAACCGCCCUUCGCUGCCUAGAGCCGCGGCGGCGGCUGCUUUGGACGGAGGCCGCUCUGUGGGGGCUUCUGGCGGCGAGGCGCCGACCCGAAGAGACGCGGGGCGUGUGGCCCACCCCCCUGUCCGAGCAGAGGCCCGGCCAGUUUCAGGCGCGCCCCUGCCCUGCUCGGCGGAAACGUGGAAGGAACCGAGCAGGUUCAUUCUGAGCUGCUUUUCGCCGUCCAGCUCCUGAAAGAAGACUCCCCUUCUACUCUCUCGGCGUUGCGCUCUGGUUUGAAGCGCCUGCAAAAAGACCCCUGCGCGCAGCAUCCCUGCCAUCGAGCUCCUCACCAGCACCGUUUAUGAACAAAGCUGAGCGCUAUGAACAAAGCUGAGCUGAGCGCUAUCCACGCAUUCAAAGUUAUGUACUGGAAAACUGCUUGCCUCCAAUGAAAGACAUUCACUGGAAUCAAAGGUGCCAACUUGAAUAAAAUAUUGGGGGGAGCCCCGCCCUGCAUAAUCGAUCACAAGACACACACCAUUUGAAUGGCAAUGAUACUGUGGGGGUGGGGCUCCCUCAACUAUUUUAUGGGGGAGGGCGAAGGGACCCUGGCCCCUGGGAAUGGGCUCCUAUGACUGGAAUGGAAAGUAAUUAAAAUGAAAAGACUUGCGCUUAUGUUGACCGACAGAGUCCUUUUCUUCUUCAUCAUCAUCAUCUUGUUAUUUUUCAUUUUUAAAAAAAUAAAAAAUAAACUUGU